AGAGAAAGAAUUAAAAACAAAAAAACGAUUUCUAUUAAUUUUGUUAUCAGAAUUCACAACAAAACAAGGCAUUAUAUUGUACUUGUAUACUUCUCUUACAUCAUAUCAUAUCAUAUCUGAAUCUGCGAGUGUGCAAGAAGUCUACUAUCUUUUGCAUCAUCUCCAUCGUCUCAUCUCUAUCAUAUCCUAGUUGAUCAGGCAACAGAAUGAACUCUUGAUUUACAGAGAAUCUCUCUUCAUUUGCUUCAUACAAUCUACCAUUACGCUCCCACACACCAAUUCUGUCUUCUUUUGGGAUAUCAAGACCUGUAACCACAACAUAAUACCCAAAUUAAUUAAUAACAACAGAUUAAAUAAGUUAAAAUUAGGGUUUAAUUACCUUCAUUAAUCGCCAUCAACAGGCGUCCUCCACACCAAUUCUUGAUUGGGCAUUUUCUUCUUCUUCGCCACGUCUAAUAAUAAUAAUAAUAAACAUUAAAAUGGUGAUUAUGAAAUUCAAAUUAGAUGGUGUAGAGAUUUAUAAAUCAUUACCUCCAUGUUGUUCUUUACCUGACGAUCUUUUCUUCUUCUCUCUUCUUGGCUUUGGCUUCUUCUCUUCUCAAGUAGCUUUUUCUCUCCUUUGGGAGCCAUUUCAAGAAAUUGAAAUAAAAAUUCAAAUCUAGAUUUUGAUGGUAGAGGGAAGGAGGGAUUUGGAUUUCGUUUUUAUAGAUAAACCAAGUAAUUUUGAUUGGUCGAGUAGUGUUAGUAUCGGAUCAGUGACUUGGC
rnacentral:lncRNA from 1 species